rnacentral:rRNA from 1 species
UACGUAGGGGGCUAGCGUUGUCCGGAAUCAUUGGGCGUAAAGAGCGCGUAGGCGGCCAGAUAAGUCCGGUGUGAAAGUCACAGGCUCAACCUGUGAAUGCCGCUGGAAACUGUCUGGCUAGAGUCCGGGAGGGGCGAGUGGAAUUCCUGGUGUAGCGGUGAAAUGCGCAGAUAUCAGGAGGAACACCUAUGGCGAAGGCAGCUCGCUGGGACGUUACUGACGCUGAGACGCGAAAGCGUGGGGAGCAAACAGG